GACGAACGCUGGCGGCGUGCUUAACACAUGCAAGUCGAACGGAAAGGCCCUGCUUUUGUGGGGUGCUCGAGUGGCGAACGGGUGAGUAACACGUGAGUAACCUGCCCUUGACUUUGGGAUAACUUCAGGAAACUGGGGCUAAUACCGGAUAGUUGCUCCUGCUGCAUGGUGGGGGUUGGAAAGUUUCGGCGGUUGGGGAUGGACUCGCGGCUUAUAAGCUUGUUGGUGGGGUAGUGGCUUACCAAGGCUUUGACGGGUAGCCGGCCUGAGAGGGUGACCGGCCACAUUGGGACUGAGAUACGGCCCAGACUCCUACGGGAGGCAGCAGUGGGGAAUAUUGCACAAUGGGCGGAAGCCUGAUGCAGCAACGCCGCGUGCGGGAUGACGGCCUUCGGGUUGUAACCCGCUUUCGCCUGUGACGAAGCGUGAGUGACGGUAAUGGGUAAAGAAGCACCGGCUAACUACGUG
rnacentral:rRNA from 1 species